rnacentral:tRNA from 1 species
GGCCUCGUAGCUCAAAUGGCUAGAGCGUCAACUGUAUUGUGGGUUCAAAUCCCACCGAUGCCA